rnacentral:rRNA from 1 species
UACGAAGGGUGCGAGCGUUGUUCGGAAUUACUGGGCGUAAAGCGCACGUAGGCGGAUCUAUAAGUCGGAUGUGAAAUCCCCAGGCUUAACCUGGGAAUUGCAUCCGAAACUGUAGACCUUGAAUGCUUGAGAGGAUGACGGAAUUCCUGGUGUAGAAGUGAAAUUCGUAGAUAUCAGGAGGAACACCGGAGGCGAAGGCGGUUGUCUGGCGAUGCAUUGACGCUGAGGUGCGAAAGCGUGGGGAGCAAACAGG